rnacentral:rRNA from 1 species
UACGAAGGGUGCAAGCGUUACUCGGAAUUACUGGGCGUAAAGCGUGCGUAGGUGGUCGUUUAAGUCCGUUGUGAAAGCCCUGGGCUCAACCUGGGAACUGCAGUGGAUACUGGACGACUAGAGUGUGGUAGAGGGUAGCGGAAUUCCUGGUGUAGCAGUGAAAUGCGUAGAGAUCAGGAGGAACAUCCAUGGCGAAGGCAGCUACCUGGACCAACACUGACACUGAGGCACGAAAGCGUGGGGAGCAAACAGGAUUAGAAACCCGUGUAGUCC